rnacentral:rRNA from 1 species
AUUGAACGCUGGCGGCAGGCCUAACACAUGCAAGUCGAACGAGUGGCGGACGGGUGAGUAAUGUCUGGGAAACUGCCUGAUGGAGGGGGAUAACUACUGGAAACGGUAGAUAAUACCGCAUACCAUCAGAUGUGCCCAGAUGGGAUUAGCUUGUUGGUGGGGUAACGGCUCACCAAGGCGAAGAUCCCUAGCUGGUCUGAGAGGAUGACGACCCACACUGGAGCGGAGCCACGGUCCAGACUCCUACGGGAGGCAGCAGUGGGAAAUAUUGCACAAAGGGCGAAAGCCGGAGGCAGCCAGGCCGCGUGUAUGAUGAAGGCCUUCGGGUUGUAAAGUACUUUAAGCGGGGAGGCGUUACCCGCAGAAGAAGCACCGGCUAACUCCGUGCCAGCCGCCGCGGUAAUAC